CUACGGGAGGCAGCAGCAAGGAAUUUUCGGCAAUGGGCGCAAGCCUGAUCCAGCCAUGCCGCGUGAGUGAAGAAGGCCCUCGGGUUGUAAAGCUCUUUUGUCCGGAAAGAAAAGCGCCGGGUUAAUACCCUGGUGUCCUGACGGUACCGGAAGAAUAAGCACCGGCUAACUUCGUGCCAGCAGCCGCGGUAAUACGAAGGGUGCAAGCGUUACUCGGAAUUACUGGGCGUAAAGCGUGCGUAGGUGGUUCGUUAAGUCCGAUGUGAAAGCCCUGGGCUCAACCUGGGAAUGGCAUUGGAUACUGGCGGGCUAGAGUGCGGUAGAGGGUAGUGGAAUUCCCGGUGUAGCAGUGAAAUGCGUAGAGAUCGGGAGGAACAUCCGUGGCGAAGGCGACUACCUGGACCAGCACUGACACUGAGGCACGAAAGCGUGGGGAGCAAACAGGAUUAGAAACCCUAGUAGUCC
rnacentral:rRNA from 1 species